AUGUGGUUUCGCAUGCUUGCCAAUCAGACUGAGGAGACCUUCGUGACAUUCCUGGAAAAAGAAGACAAGUCACUAGCCGUGCGGGAAAUGGACGUCUCCUACUGCAUCGUCGCCAAUCCCGACACACUGCUUCAGUGCAUACGACGGUGCACUAUGUUACGCAAGCUGUACUGCGUUGCGUGCCCGUUCAAGGCGAGCGAUAUGUUGUCACUGCUGCUCCAACUGCCAUUUCUAACGCGUCUGCAUUUCUCCCUCGUAGCGGAGCACGAUCUGGCCGGUGAUAUGACCAGCAUUCUCGCGCAAUACGCGCAGGGUCACACAGCUUCCAGUCUCCGCAACAUAUAUGCCGAGGUGAGGGACGACAGCAACUUCGCACUUCUCGAGGCUUUCGUGUCUUGCUGCCCGAAUCUGUCCGAUCUGCAUGUGCACUUCAUGCGCGGGCAGUUGUCGCACGCGGUUCUAUACUGCGAGGAAAUCAUCGAAGCUCUCUCAACGGUUAAGAAUUUCACCUUCUCCUCGGAUGUUCCGGCGUGCCUACAGCUGGAAAUACCCGCGGCGUUGGACCUGAAGACUUGCUUACAGAUAUGCUCAAACGUGGUUUAUGGCAAGUUGCGCUGCCGUAACUACAAUUGCGCGCAACUCGCCGAUCUUGCAUCCGGUAACAGUCACGCUGACUUGCCGCCGCAGCUUGUAAUCCUAGCCAUUUACAAACCCGAGCUCCUGGCUCAACGUAUCCGCACGGCCUGCCGAAUGCUCCGCUGGACAUCGGUGAGUCGUCUCUGUCUCGUCCUAGUUCCGCAAGAGCCGGAGUGUACGGACUACCCGACGGUCGGCGUCGAAUUCCUUCCCUGUCUUCGCGAGUUCUUCGUUACUGCAGUGAGCAACUUGCUGGAGCUCAACGUCAACUCCUUCCACUUCGGUCUCGACCUCGACCUCACAACACUGAUGCUAAAUGCCAAUAUGAAAACUCUCAGGGCGAUCUCCGCUCCGCCUUGCGGGCUACGCCAUCCGUCCGUGCUUCAGCGCCUCGUCCACAGCUGCCCGGCACUCGAGGAACUGGACGUGCGCGUGUACCACCGAGCUAGCUUAGUCCGCUGCGUUGUUUGCGAAAGCCCGUUUGCCCUGCACGCCGACGACGUGGCCUUCCUGAACAGCGACUCUCCUCGCAAGCAGUUCCGGAUCACCCUAUGCGACUUGCCGAGACUGGAGUCUUUGAGGUUUCUUCACCGCUGCAGUGUGACAGAUCUGCGGCUCUUAAACUGCCCCGAGACGGUGCGUGAAGAUUAUGCGUCUCUGGCAAUGAUGCUUCCUCACAACAAUAACCUCCGGUAUCUCCAGCUCCAGCAGGAAUGGUUGCCACUCUGCGAUGAGUCCUUCAUAACUAACCUGACCUGCCUGCAGAGCCUUGAAUACGUGUGCUUUUUGACGGGCGUCUUUGCAUCGGAUGAGUUUGUAGAUAGCUUCCUGCACGGCUUGGACAUCCUCAUGCGGAACCUGAAGGUAGCGCACGUACACUACCGCCGGCCACCAGAAGGCGCCGAGCAACGGGUCACGUGGAUGAGAAACGCAAGCUGGCCACGCCUGGAAAGAGGACGCGGUCCUGUUCUUCGAGACCGGCCUUGCGUUCUGUGCUCCACAGCAACGUUCAUAGGCCUCGCGAAGCCACCAACCACUCAAAUUAAUCUCGCCCCGUAGCGUAGGCCAUUUGUGCGAUCAGCUCUAGAAUUGCAAGUUUCUAGCAUUUAGAUUAUGAAGCCUACUAUUUUGUGCUGUCAUUGAAACAUUUCAAAAGUAUUGUUUAAGUAUAGCAUUUUAGCCUGUGACGAUAAUGAACCAGUCAGCUGGGGCUCUUUAUAAAUUGACGUAGUGCUGCUAGCACAAAUAUCUCCACACUAACAUGACAUCUGAGUCGACAAACAUUCAAGGUCCAGUAAAACUUCUUGUGCGGAUUGCUGUUGCAAAAACUUACCACAGUUCAACCCUGCGUGAAAUCCUCAGAAACAGCCGUGCUGUGCUUCUCCUGUGUUUGCCUUGUGUUUAUCUACGAUUUUCUGUGAUGCUUUGUGAUUUUGUGUGGGUGUCUGUGCUUACGGUGUUUCUAAGGUAGAGAUGCAGGAAAGGGACCUGUGGCAGCCCAUGCCACACCCACGACUUCUAGUGUUACUUUAGGCCCUAUUUACGCUCAUGUCCUCCUUCGCCGUUUCAUUGUGUAAUUACCCCU